CCUACGGGAGGCAGCAGUCGGGAAUCUUUCACAAUGGGGGAAACCCUGAUGCAGCGACGCCGCGUGAGGGAUGAAGGUUUUCCGUAUGUAAAGCCCUUUUAGUAGGGAAGAAGAUUACGGUACCUGACUAAUAAGCCCCGGCUAACUCCGUGCCAGCAGCCGCGGUAAUACGGAGGGGGCAAGCGUUAGCCGGAUUCACUGGGAGUAAAGGGUGCGUAGGCGGCGAUGCAAGCCAGAUGUGAAAGCCUGGGGCUCAACCCCGGGACUGCAUUUGAAACUGUGAGUCUAGAGUGUGGGAGAGGCAGGCGGAAUUCCUGGUGUAGCGGUGAAAUGCGUAGAUAUCAAGAGGAACACUAGUGGCGAAGGCGGCCUGCUGGACGAUGACUGACGUUGAGGCACGAAGGCGUGGGGAGCAAACAGGAUUAGAUACCCGGGUAGUC
rnacentral:rRNA from 1 species